rnacentral:lncRNA from 1 species
CUUGGCAUAAGUUUCAUGCAAAUCAUAGUAACGAGUGCCUCGUCAAUGCUUAUGUUUUUCAUAGAACUUAAUAAUUCUUGCUUGUAUCUCUAUUAUGCAAUUCAUGUAGGGAACUUGUAGGGAAUGUUUUGGGUUGUCGUAUGCAAUCAUCCAACCCAAUAACUUGUGGAAAAACUGAGGGUUAAUUAAUGCAAUUCACGGUUAAUUUGGGGCGUUGAGAAUUAAUAAGUUAUUGAAAUGCAAUUGGAAAUCAUUUUGUAUGCAAGCAAGACAUGUGUGGAGAAGAACCCCUUAGCUAGCCUUCCAUUAUCCAUUCAACCCAAAUUUGUUUAAAAUCUAUUUAAGUUUUUAGUUUAUUCGUUUUUACUUUCAACUUCACCAAACUCAAAUCCCCCUUUUACUUUCUUGUUUUAAAAUCUUUUGUUUACAUUUUUAACUUUGUUUUUAUGUUUUUAAAUUAGUUUUCAAGUGAUUUAGCAAUCCCUCAUAAUCCCCGGUUUAGAACGAUCCCUACUUACAUCUAUACUACAAUUGUCAAAAAGAGGGUUAAAUUUGUGUGCUUAUAUAUUUCGCAUCAUCGGUCCUAAGCCGCGGACGCGAACCUGGCUCUUUAGAGAAGGAAUGCACCGAUGCCAAA